rnacentral:rRNA from 1 species
CCUACGGGAGGCUGCAGUGGGGAAUAUUGCACAAUGGGGGAAACUCUGAUGCAGCGACGCCGCGUGCGUGAAGAAGUAUUUCGGUAUGUAAAGCUCUAUCAGCAGGGAAGAAAAUGACGGUACCUGAUUUAGAAGCCCCGGCUAACUACGUGCCAGCAGCCGCGGUAAUACGUAGGGAGCAAGCGUUAUACGGAUUUACUGGGUGUAAAGGGAGCGUAGACGGCAGCGCAAGUCUGAAGUGAAAUGCCGGGGCUUAACCCCGGAACUGCUUUGGAAACUGUGCAGCUAGAGUGCAGGAGAGGUAAGUGGAAUUUCUAGUGUAGCGGUGAAAUGCGUAGAUAUUAGGAAGAACACCAGUGGCGAAGGCGGCUUACUGGACUGUAACUGACGUUGAGGCUCGAAAGCGUGGGGAGCAAACAGGAUUAGAUAUCCGGGUAGUC